CAGUGGGAGCCUCUUAAUGGGGUGACUGCGUACCUUUUGUAUAAUGGGUCAGCGACUUAUAUUCUGUAGCAAGGUUAACCGAAUAGGGGAGCCGAAGGGAAACCGAGUCUUAACUGGGCGUUAAGUUGCAGGGUAUAGACCCGAAACCCGGUGAUCUAGCCAUGGGCAGGUUGAAGGUUGGGUAACACUAACUGGAGGACCGAACCGACUAAUGUUGAAAAAUUAGCGGAUGACUUGUGGCUGGGGGUGAAAGGCCAAUCAAACCGGGAGAUAGCUGGUUCUCCCCGAAAGCUAUUUAGGUAGCGCCUCGUGAAUUCAUCUCCGGGGGUAGAGCACUGUUUCGGCAAGGGGGUCAUCCCGACUUACCAACCCGAUGCAAACUGCGAAUACCGGAGAAUGUUAUCACGGGAGACACACGGCGGGUGCUAACGUCCGUCGUGAAGAGGGAAACAACCCAGACCGCCAGCUAAGGUCCCAAAGUCAUGGUUAAGUGGGAAACGAUGUGGGAAGGCCCAGACAGCCAGGAUGUUGGCUUAGAAGCAGCCAUCAUUUAAAGAAAGCGUAAUAGCUCACUGGUCGAGUCGGCCUGCGCGGAAGAUGUAACGGGGCUAAACCAUGCACCGAAGCUGCGGCAGCGACACUAUGUGUUGUUGGGUAGGGGAGCGUUCUGUAAGCCUGUGAAGGUGGCCUGUGAGGGUUGCUGGAGGUAUCAGAAGUGCGAAUGCUGACAUAAGUAACGAUAAAGCGGGUGAAAAGCCCGCUCGCCGGAAGACCAAGGGUUCCUGUCCAACGUUAAUCGGGGCAGGGUGAGUCGACCCCUAAGGCGAGGCCGAAAGGCGUAGUCGAUGGGAAACAGGUUAAUAUUCCUGUACUUGGUGUUACUGCGAAGGGGGGACGGAGAAGGCUAUGUUGGCCGGGCGACGGUUGUCCCGGUUUAAGCGUGUAGGCUGGUUUUCCAGGCAAAUCCGGAAAACCAAGGCUGAGGCGUGAUGACGAGGCACUACGGUGCUGAAGCGACAAAUGCCCUGCUUCCAGGAAAAGCCUCUAAGCAUCAGGUAACAUCAAAUCGUACCCCAAACCGACACAGGUGGUCAGGUAGAGAAUACCAAGGCGCUUGAGAGAACUCGGGUGAAGGAACUAGGCAAAAUGGUGCCGUAACUUCGGGAGAAGGCACGCUGAUAUGUAGGUGAAGCGACUUGCUCGUGGAGCUGAAAUCAGUCGAAGAUACCAGCUGGCUGCAACUGUUUAUUAAAAACACAGCACUGUGCAAACACGAAAGUGGACGUAUACGGUGUGACGCCUGCCCGGUGCCGGAAGGUUAAUUGAUGGGGUUAGCGGUAACGCGAAGCUCUUGAUCGAAGCCCCGGUAAACGGCGGCCGUAACUAUAACGGUCCUAAGGUAGCGAAAUUCCUUGUCGGGUAAGUUCCGACCUGCACGAAUGGCGUAAUGAUGGCCAGGCUGUCUCCACCCGAGACUCAGUGAAAUUGAACUCGCUGUGAAGAUGCAGUGUACCCGCGGCAAGACGGAAAGACCCCGUGAACCUUUACUAUAGCUUGACACUGAACAUUGAGCCUUGAUGUGUAGGAUAGGUGGGAGGCUUUGAAGUGUGGACGCCAGUCUGCAUGGAGCCGACCUUGAAAUACCACCCUUUAAUGU
rnacentral:rRNA from 1 species